GAGGCUAUAGUUCAGUGGUAGAGUGUGUGUGUAGCAUGCACAAGGUCCUGGGUUCAAUCCUCAGGACCUUUG
rnacentral:tRNA from 1 species